CUGGCGGCGGCUGCGGGAUCUGUUCCGUGGGGCCUGCCCGGGGCCCGGGCUGAGCCAAGCCCAGUCCAGUCCAGCCCAGCCCAACCCAACCCAACCCAGCAUUGCCUUGCCUUGCCUUGCCUUGCCUUGCCCGCUCAGGGGGCACUGCUCUCGCGGUGUCGUGCGCUCUCCCGGCCGCGCGAUGCGCGAUGCUCGGCGGGCCCAGCUCUGGUGAGCAGCGGCAGCGAUGAGAAUUCGUGACUAGGGAUGAUUGAAGCUUCGUAAUAGCUGCGAGUUUGCAAUGCCUUGGGAGUGCUGGAGGUGUUGCCCAGGAAUAGCACUAUACUCUCCUCAAACGGGAAAUACCCGGUGUUCAGCAGCCCAUCAAAGCGGGUGUGCAGUCUCUGAAUAAGAUCGUGCAGGUCCAGAAAUUGCUUCUAGAAAAGCAGCAGCUACCUCCCAAGGGAAGGGUAACCCUCGGCCAUGUGAAACGGGAUGUGCCUUCUCUUGAAAGCCCUGAAGGGCAGCAGGAACCUCACAGCUGGCAGAAACAUCGCCCUCUUCUGGGAACAGAAAUGCGAAGUUGUUGAGAAUGUUUUUCAAAAAUGCAAAUGAGCUGUUUUCAACUCUUUUAUAUUUAUGACUGUAUUACUGUGAGACUGUUAAGAGUUUUAAUUUUGUAGUUACCCCACCUGCUGUUUCAUUAUUAAAGCCUUGGGUCUGAUUAAUCAAAAAUGUAUUCUGCAGUCAGAUCACAGCAGUUGUAUAAAAUUUGUAAGCAUGACUAUACUGUGAAAGCUAUUCAUGACCAAAACAACUUCUAAAGUUUCUGAUGUGUCUUAUGAGGAAGCAGUAUGGUAAAAUGGGUAAAAUGGGUAAAAUUAUGCCUAGAGGCAAAACAGAACCAUGAUGCUGCUCUGAGGGAUUUUCUUUCCUUUCAUGUAAAACCCCCCUCACCCAUACACACUACAUGCAGAGGGAGAGAGUUCAUGUGCAAGUUAUUUUCAUGAGAGCACUUGAAGAUGUAGAUACCAAAACGAUAUGGCUGACACAUGGCAAAAAUCAUAGGAAACCUUGGUAAAUUCUAUCCCCUACACCAUGCAGUUUAGUGCAAUUCUGUGUCUCUAAGGGAAAUUGUCAUUGAGCCAUUUGUUUCAAAAAUCAAAUAUUGUAUGAGGAGGGUAUCAAUGAAUCUUCACACUUCACUUAGAUCAAUAAACCUCUUUACAUCAGUCUUCAGCUUUCACUGCCUCCCAACUUUGCUGAAUUCUUACAACAGAAGAUGUGAUGAGAACUUGUAGUUCAUGUUUUCAUGGAAGUUUUCAUUUGAUAUUUGAAUAGCCUUCACUGUCAUGUAGUCUGGGGUUAACUUAUUUCUUCAGUUGUUGUGGAAUAUAUGCUUCCCCUACGUAUGUUUGUACAGAAGCUAACACCAGAAUGUUGCUUGUAUCUGGACUUUUUUUCCUUUACUACAGCUGUUAGUAGCUUGUAUGGGAGCUCGUGUCAGAAUUUUUUCAUAUUGGUGCUGCCAUAUUCAGCAAGUUUAAUGAGGUAAAAAAUGAAAGCAGCUCUGGAAAGCAAGUUUGAGGACAGUAGUGUCCAGAGUUGAGAGGGACAGAAGGUAACAGCAGAGAGGUUCACACUGAGGAUAGAAUUUGUUUACUUAUGCAGCACAAAAAGAUAUUAGCAGAAAUAGUGUAGAUGGAUAAAUUCUUCAGACUAAUGGUUUCAGUGCAGCUGAACACUGUAAAUCACAGAUUUCCCUAGUCUAUUAGACUCAGAACAGAACGAAAACAGCUUGUCUGAUGUCUGGAGCAGCUCAGAGAAACACUUAAUAUUAAUUCAUGAGGAAUAUGCUAUAAGAAGUCUGUUAAGAUUAAUUUUACAAAGGAAAACUUCCAAUCAUAUGAAUUACAUUUUAAAGAAAUAAAAUGAACUUACUUUUGGGAGCCCAGUCCUUAGUUGACCUUUCUGGUUGCAAAGCAAUUAGUUCCAUUACAAUGCUUUGGCAGUGCAAAAGGCACUGGGGAAUGGCAAAAUGUUCUCUGGAACUUAAUGAAAGUGAAUGGAGUUUUUAAAAGAAGAAAAGAACCUGCUAAAACCAGAAGUGCAUCUCUCAAGCUGAUUCCAGUCCCACUCAUGUAUGUGCUGUUUAGCUCAAGGAAGGAGUUUCAUUUUCUGAACAUGUUUGAUGUACCUGGUUAAAGACUAACACCAAGCUGCUGGAACAAGGCACCUUGCUCCAGAUAGUUACCCACAUGUUCUGACUGUAGUGCCAUCAGAGGGAGAGGCAGUGUGAAAACAUUCCUUGCUUUUGCCUUCAUUUCAUGUCAUUUCUGCCAAGUGCUGUCUUUGGCAGAAAACGUGACUGGCUGGAACUUCACUUUGGGUAUCAGAAGCCCAGUGCUGAAUAUCAGCAACAUCACUCAGCAUUUUCAGGGAGAACUAAAAUGGACAUAAAGCUUAUUGAGUUUUCUUUAUGAAUUAUGUGCAAUCUUGCACUGCCUGCCUUUCUCUUCUUUGCCCUCACAUGGUAGCUAGUUACUCUAGAGAAUUCUUACCAAAAGAAAAUUGAAUAUAGACUGUUUCAGCCUUUGAAA